rnacentral:lncRNA from 1 species
AUGUUUUUUCUUUUGAAAUCAUCUCCUGUGUAUGUACUCCUGAGAACGGACAUGCUCUUGCUGACAUCCUUCCAUGGCCGGAUCUCUGCACCUCCACCUAUGGUGAGCAAGGAAGCCCAUCAUAAAUUGGUGGCCAGAUUAUUUCACCCAUGGAUGAAGAAAACAAUAGGAUGAGAUAUUGUUCCCUGGCACAAAAUUUCUUUGAAGCAAUCAUGAAGAUGGAUGCAGUUCUGCGCAUGCGGGGUCCAGACAGCUAAGCGGUGCGUGUGAGGUGGAGAGGUUGGCGCCGGGGGGCUUGUGGCCGCUGCUUGCUCGCAAC